GAAUUACUAGGAUUUAAUUUAGGAUUUAGGAUUUGGUUUAGGAUUUGAUUUAAGAUUUGAUUAGAGAUUGAUUUAGGAUUUAGGAUUUAGUUAGGAUUUUAUUUAGGAUUUAGGAUUUGAUUAGGAUUUGAUUUAGAAUUUUAUUAGGAUUUGAUUAAGGUUUGAUUUAGGAUUUAGGGUUUGAUUAAGAUUUUAUUUAGGAUUUAGGAUUUGAUUAGGAUUUGAUUUAGAAUUUGAUUUUGAAUUUAGAAUUUUAUUAGGAUUUAUUUAGGGUUUAAGAUUUAAUUAAUUUUUGGCCUAAAAUUUGAAUGAAGUCCAAUAGGAUUUUAACUAGGAUUAAAUUAAGAUUGAAUUGAGAUGUAUUUGAGAUAUAUUUGUGAUCAUUCUAAUAUUUCUUUAAUAUUUUUUAUUAUUUCUUUAUAAUUUCUUUGAGGUUUCUUUGAAUUUGAUUAAAGCUUUUUUAAUAUUAUUAUAGUAUA
rnacentral:lncRNA from 1 species